CCCUGGCUCAGGAUGAACGCUAGCGGCAGGCUUAACACAUGCAAGUCGAGGGGUAUAGUUCUUCGGAAUUAGAGACCGGCGCACGGGUGCGUAACGCGUAUGCAAUCUACCUUUUGCAGAGGGAUAGCCCAGAGAAAUUUGGAUUAAUACCUCAUAGUAUAGCAGUUUCGCAUGAAACCACUAUUAAAGUCACAACGGCAAAAGAUGAGCAUGCGUCCCAUUAGCUAGUUGGUAAGGUAACGGCUUACCAAGGCUAGGAUGGGUAGGGGUCCUGAGAGGGAGAUCCCCCACACUGGUACUGAGACACGGACCAGACUCCUACGGGAGGCAGCAGUGAGGAAUAUUGGACAAUGGGCGCAAGCCUGAUCCAGCCAUGCCGCGUGCAGGAUGACGGUCCUAUGGAUUGUAAACUGCUUUUGUACAGGAAGAAACACUCCCUCGUGAGGGAGCUUGACGGUACUGUAAGAAUAAGGAUCGGC
rnacentral:rRNA from 1 species